rnacentral:rRNA from 1 species
AUGAACGCUGGCGGCGUGCCUAAUACAUGCCAGUCGCGCGAACAGACGAGGAGCUUGCUCCUCUGACGUUAGCGGCGGACGGGUGAGUAACACGUGGAUAACCUACCUAUAAGACUGGGAUAACUUCGGGAAACCGGAGCUAAUACCGGAUAAUAUAUUGAACCGCAUGGUUCAAUAGUGAAAGACGGUUUUGCUGUCACUUAUAGAUGGAUCCGCGCCGCAUUAGCUAGUUGGUAAGGUAACGGCUUACCAAGGCAACGAUGCGUAGCCGACCUGAGAGGGUGAUCGGCCACACUGGAACUGAGACACGGUCCAGACUCCUACGGGAGGCAGCAGUAGGGAAUCUUCCGCAAUGGGCGAAAGCUUGACGGAGCAACGCCGCGGGAGUGAUGAAGGUCUUCGGAUCGUAAAACUCUGUUAUUAGGGAAGAACAAAUGUGUAAGUAACUAUGCACGUCUUGACGGUACCUAAUCAGAAAGCCACGGCGAACUACGU